GCCCUGGGGGAAGACUAAACAUGCAAGUCGAACGGUAACAGGAAGCAAGCUUGCUGCUUCGCUGACGAGUGGCGGACGGGUGAGUAAUGUCUGGGAAACUGCCUGAUGGAGGGGGAUAACUACUGGAAACGGUAGCUAAUACCGCAUAACGUCGCAAGACCAAAGAGGGGGACCUUCGGGCCUCUUGCCAUCAGAUGUGCCCAGAUGGGAUUAGCUAGUAGGUGGGGUAACGGCUCACCUAGGCGACGAUCCCUAGCUGGUCUGAGAGGAUGACCAGCCACACUGGAACUGAGACACGGUCCAGACUCCUACGGGAGGCAGCAGUGGGGAAUAUUGCACAAUGGGCGCAAGCCUGAUGCAGCCAUGCCGCGUGUAUGAAGAAGGCCUUCGGGUUGUAAAGUACUUUCAGCGGGGAGGAAGGCGAUGCGGUUAAUAACCGCGUCGAUUGACGUUACCCGCAGAAGAAGCACCGGCUAACUCCGUGCCAGCAGCCGCGGUAAUACGGAGGGUGCAAGCGUUAAUCGGAAUUACUGGGCGUAAAGCGCACGCAGGCGGUCUGUCAAGUCGGAUGUGAAAUCCCCGGGCUCAACCUGGGAACUGCAUCCGAAACUGGCAGGCUUGAGUCUCGUAGAGGGGGGUAGAAUUCCAGGUGUAGCGGUGAAAUGCGUAGAGAUCUGGAGGAAUACCGGUGGCGAAGGCGGCCCCCUGGACGAAGACUGACGCUCAGGUGCGAAAGCGUGGGGAGCAAACAGGAUUAGAUUUCGUUUUUUUUAUAUACAU
rnacentral:rRNA from 1 species